rnacentral:lncRNA from 1 species
GAAAGAGAUAAAAAGAGACAGAGACAUCUUUCAAUGUCAGAGAUAGAGAGGGACACACAUGUUAAGGGACACACUUACAGAGGAUAAAGUCAGAGAGGGAAACACACAAAGGGAGAGAGAGAGAGAGAGAGAGAGAGAGAGAGAGACGGAAGGACACAUACAGAGGGGGGCACAGACAGUGAGGGAUACAGAGAGAGGGACACAGACAUUGAGGGAUACAGAGAGAGACACAGAGUGAGGGACACAGACAGAGAAGGAUACAGAGAGAGGGACACAGACAUUGAGGGAUACAGAGAGAGACACAGAGUGAGGGACACAGACAGAGAGGGAUACAGAGAGAGGGACACAGAGAGAGGGAUAUAGAGAGAGGGACACAGACACUGAGGGAUACAGAGAGAGACACACAGAGAGGGACACAGACAGUGAGGGAUACAGAGAGAGACACAGAGAUUUGGACACAGACAGAGAGGUACACACACAGAGAGGGACACACACAUACAGAGAAUAAAGUCAGAGAGAGAGUGGGACACGCACAGAAGGAAAGAGAGGGGGAGAGGAAGAGGGAGAGAGAGGGGGACACAUACAGAUAGGGACACAUACAGAGAGGGACACACAUGGAGAAAAAGAGAGAGAGAGAAAUACACACACAGAGACAGACACACAGAGAGUGCAACACACAUAUGUAGGGAUACAUCCAUACCUACAGAAGGUCACACACACCUACAGAGGGACAUACACACAUCAUACACACAUUCAGAGAGACACACAUACAGAGGGGACACACACACAUACAGAGGGAUACACACAUACAGAGGGACACACACACACAUGCAGGGGGAUACACACACAUACAGAGGAUAAAGUCAGAGAAAGAGAGAGGGGCACACAGAGGCAAACAGAGAGAGGGAG